rnacentral:lncRNA from 1 species
CAGCAAAACUGCAAACUUCACUUAGAUGCUAAGCAACAUUCCUUCCCCUCUCAAAAACAGUGAACUUGUUUUAUUUUGGGGAUUGGUCCAAGUCUGCCUCACAACCAAGUGGGAAUAGGCAUCCACAUGCAAUUUACUUGGUAUAGCAGACUGACCUUCAAUGUGCAUCUUAUAAAAAAUAAACUUUAAUGAGGGUCCAAGGAGGAACAGGAUUGCUCGAAGGCCAUCUCUGGUAAUAGCUUGGCUUUUUAGGGCCAUUUCUUGCUCAUAUAGGUUACAAGGUUUUUAGCUUUCUUUUAAUAUAUGUUCUGAUGCUUGGAAGAGAUACUGAAAAAAUGUCAUUUUUAGGAGUAAAGCUUAAGUUUUUCAGUGCUUAAAAAUGUAUAUUUCUGGACUUUUAGACUAUAUAAUAUGCAUUAAUUAUGUAGAAUCUUAUUUAAUAAUGUUUCUUACCAGUAAAUUUCAGUUAAUUUCCCUUUAUUCUCAUUCUAUUCUAAUAUUUAGAGUAGAAUUUGAAGCAAGAAGAGCAAGGUUUAUAAUGCCCUCCCCCUAAAAAUGGAAAAUCUUAUAUUUUAAUAUAAAAUUAAAGGAUUUAUAGACUGCCAAAUUGUUUUCCAGAAAGUUGGUAAUAAUUUAGACUUUUACUAACAGGUGUAUUUAAGUAUCUCUUUCUCUGCAUCUUAGACAUUUAAAAAACUUGCAUAAAUUUCAUAGGCAAUGAAUUGAGAACAGCAUCACAAAGACUGAAAGAUUUGAUACAAUAUAGCACAUAUUUAGAAUGUUGAGGUGCAGUUAGAACAUAAGGAGCGUGUGGAGAUAGCAGGAGAUGAGGUUAGGUGUAGGAAGAAACCAGAUGGUUCUGGGUGGUGAGAGGUGUGUGCAUAUGUAUAAUGCUGAACAGAGGAUCUGGACUUUAUCCUAAGGGAAUGGGCAUCAUUGAAGAGUUUACAGAGUGGAAUUAUAUAAUCAGGUGUCAUUUUAAGGGUCACUUUGGCAGUUGUGUGCAAGAUGUGUCAGAGGGGUUUCCAGAUUGGAAGCAGGAAGAGCUCUUAGGAAUUCUUAUAUUCCAGGUGGAACAUAACCUUCUUAUGAACACACACACACCCCCAAGAAGGCUUAAGGAAAAUCAGAGUGGUAGCUGCAGAAAUACCUAUUUCUGGUUCUGCCACAAAAUUGUUUUGUUUUCUAAGCCUCUCUAGUUUUUAUAUAAUGUGCAAUUCAAAGUUACAAAUCUCAAAUAUUCUUAAAACAUGAACCUUGGACUCCAAAGCAACAUUAAAAUACUAUGCUAUUAAACAUGAAAACAUUCCUAAGAAGUGGGUUGAGGGCAUUGCUUAUUUCUAAGGAUCUCAUGGUAUAUUGGAAAAAGAUUUAGAAAAGACUACUUCGGUAGAUCAAUUUUUUAAAUGGCCUCAGUUUUCCAUCCUUUCCUGGAAUGGGACUUUUGAGAUGUGACUUUACAUCAAAGGGUGAAGUCUAUUUCCCUACCCCUUGGAUCUGGCCUGGCCUUGUGGCUUACUUUGGCCAAUUUCAUGAUGGGGUGAUAUUCAGCCCUUAAGCCUAAACCUCAAGAAGGCUUGUGUUAUUCUGUUUUCUCUUCGGGGCCUCUGCUACAUGUUAGAGACUGGUUGUCUUAACUAAGAUUAUCUUAAACCAGCCUGUUACCAUUUAACCUUCCAACAGACACAUGGUUGAGCCCCACUGAGCCCAGCUCACUCAAAUCAUGAGCAUCAGCCAGCCAUCCCACAGGCUCUUGGCCACAAAUGUUUCUUAUUGCACUCCACUGGAGGUUUUGUUAUUCCUAUUUUAUGGAUAAACGAUAAAACUAAAUUAGAAUAAAAAUUAUAAUGAUGUGGGAAUUUCCAUUGUGGCUCAGUGCUAAUGAACCCAGCUAGUAUCCACGAGGACGUGGAUUUGAUCCCUGGCUUCAUGUAGUGGGUUAAAGGAUCCUACAUUGCUGAGGUCACAGACACAUCUGGGAUCCUGCAUUGCUGUGGCUAUUGUGUAGGCUAGAGGUUACUGCUCUGAUUCGACCCCUUGCCUGGGAUUUUACAUAUGCUGCAGGUGCAGCCCUAAAAAGACAUAAAGAUAAAAAUUAUAGUGUGUAUAACUUUUAUGAUUUUGGAGGACUUUGACAAUCUGACAAAAACAAAGUGGAACCCAAGUUAUCCAUCUUCUAACUUAAUGUUGUGUAUUUCUAGUUAUCUUGGCAUCUAAGUGAUUGAAUAUUUUGAGUAUUUCCUUUGGAAUAAAAAUUAUAAUAAUUAUUGUUCAGUCUGAAUACUUUGCAAACUAAUUUAGUGCACUUCUUUUUUAAAAGAUAAUUUCAUUUAUUUUUUAAAAAAACCCUGAGUGCAUACAUUUUUAAAAUUGAGGUUGCAAUCUGAAAUGCCUGUAGAGGCCAGGCAUGCAUCAUAAUUGAGUGACUCAUGCUUGCUGUAAAAUACUAGGCAGUAGGGGAGAUUUGGAAAAAUGAAGGACACAUUUCCAAUGCAAAGGCAUUGAAUUCAAAUGUUUAAGAACACUGUGCCAGUCAAACACAACAUACCUGUGGGUCAGUUCAGUCCAUAGGUUGCCAGUUUAUGACCUCUAUUCUAAAAUUUUGAUUUUUGGCUUAUGUUCAGGCAUUAGCUCAAGCUCUACUUUUAAUAGGUUUGAGGGUGGAUUUUGUGACUGGAAGAGAAUAAUGGAAAGAUGAGAUGUUUUAUGUCUUAUUUCCUCCGUCAGCCUUCCUGUAGUAAUCAGUACAUAUUAGAUUGGCUCUAACAUCUUUUUGUUACUCAUUGAGAUAUAAGAGAACAGUAAAGUAAAACAUCCCCAUUCUGGAAGACUUGUCUUUGGUUAAUACCUAGAAAUAAUUGUAGCUGUGGUGUACUUAAAUGUUACCUCCCCUUUGGUGUGGAGAAGAGGUUCACUGAGGCACCAACCUAGCACAGAUUUGAAAUGCUUUAUCACCAGCUAUACAGCCCACCCUGACACGGCUUUUGUAAGCAGACUCCAAGAACUGACCCUUCGCAUUUUUCACACACACACAGUUUCAGGCUAGUUGCAGGACAUUUUUCUCCCUGAAUAUUAGAAGAGGUAAAAACAAACUUCAUUUAAAUGUCCUUGUCCUCUUGAGCAUGGUUCAGAGAUUCAGGCAGAUUGAGUACCUCAGCUUAUUUAGAGUGAAUUCAUUAACAAUAUAUUUCAGAGUCCUUGCUAUUUAAUUCUCUCUGUCCCUUUCCUUAUCCCCUUGCAUAUGUACAUGCAUACAUAGUUAUCUAUAUAUUAAGCACCUUUUGAAUCUCCUGGCUGAUUAUCAAGUAAUUUAUUCAUUUAUUUAUUCAUUCAAAUAAUAAUAUUCAGUAUUUUAGGCAUAGUGCUGGGCAUUGGGGAUAGAAAUAAUCAAGAAAGUCAGGUUUUGGAAUUUCCAUCAUGGCUCAGUGGUAACAAACCCAGCUAGUAUCCAUGAGGAUGUAUGUUUGACCCCUGGCCUCGUUCAGUGGAUUAAGGAUCUGGUGUUGCCAUGAGCUGCAGUGUAGGUUGCAGACACAGCUCGGAUGGCAUUGCUGUGGCUGUAGUGUAGGCUGGUGGCUGCAUCUCUGAUUUGACCCCUAGCCUGGGAACUUCCAUAUGCUGUGGGUGCAGUGCCCCACCCCCAAUAAAAAAGAAGAGAAAGUCAUGCUUCUCUUAUCAUGGAAUUUGUGUUCUACUUGGGAUAAAACAUAUCAUUUAAAAAUCAUUAAUAAAUACACAAAUAAUUAAAUGGGAUAAUUUCAGAUUGUGAUACAUGCUAUAAAGGAAAUAAACAAGCUGAUAUGAUAAAAAGUAAAGGAAUAAGAAUCAGGUGAUUUUGUUAAUUUGUGGUGAAAUAAGUCCUCUCUGAACAGAGUAUUAUUUUUGCAGUCAUUUAAUACUUAAGAAUAAGUCAUCCAGUGUUCAAUUUUCAGUAAUGACUGUCUAAUUUGUUUCCUACCAACCCUCCCACUGGGAAUAACUAUAAAGCUGCAAUAAAUAAAAAAUAUAUAUUUAAUAGCACCAGAGAAAUAUCAAGAUAGUGAAGAUGCAUAAGGAAAUAUCUAGAAAUUAAUCCAACAUUUGGAAUCAAUUUUCCCCUUGAGGCAUUUGCUGAUUCAAAAGUGGCAGCUGAGAAACUGAAGUUAAAAUCCUGGCUUAGAGGAUAAAUUGGGCAGAUUUUAGUCUCUGGGUGCUAGUAGAGUUUGAACCUCUCGAAGGAGGAGAGGCCCUGAUAAAUGCUCAGGGUUUUUAGUUGGAACCCUAAAGGGCUAAAAAUGGUAUGCUAAUAAUAAACCAUUCCUCAAAAUAAUGGAGGCCCAAUUUUAAAUUAGCUCAAUGCCUGAUUACAUUAUGGAAUUUCUUUCUAGCCUAGUCACUUGCCAAAAGCAAUUGUAAAUCCUCUUGGAUGUAAAAUAAUGUCAUUCAGAACUUUCACUGUAUUUAGCAUUCAAUCUAAAGUAACUAGAUAUCUGGGAGUUCCCAUUGUGGCACAGUGGUUAAUGAAUCCAACUAGGAACCAUGAGGUUGCAGGUUCGAUCCCUGGCCUUGCUCAGUGGGUUAUGGAUCUGGUGUUGCCGUGAGCUGUGGUGUAGGUCGCAGAUGCAGCUUGGAUCUCGCGUUGCUGUGGCUCUGGCAUAGGCCAGCAGCUAUAGCUCCGAUUUAACCCCUAGCCUGGGAAACUCCAUAUGCUGCAAGAGCCGCCCACGAAAUGGCAAAAAAAAA